GUUGGAAAUUUUCCAGAUCCUAUUUAUUCAUUAGAACAUUCCAGAAGUACAUGGCACUGGAUCAUUCAGCUGUAUCUGUGUCCAGGUGACUAAAACAUUCAGCUCUGUCUGUGUCCAGGUGACUAAAACAUUCAGCUCUGUCUGUGUCCAGGUGACUAAAACAUUCAGCUCUGUCUGUGUCCAGGUGACUCAAACAUUCAGCUCUGUCUGUGUCCAUGUCAUUAAAAGAUUCUACCAGGUCCAUGCCACGCUAACUAUCAUG